rnacentral:lncRNA from 1 species
CGCGGGCCGGGGUUCCGCAAGCCGCCGACACGGCCGACACAUUGAUUUCUGUGACACAAUAAAAAUAUUUGUUCAUUUCAAUUCCUGCUUCUGUGUAUCUGUUGCGUUUACAUCUCUCUCCACGGUAUCAUAGGUAAUGUAAUCCAGUAUUUCGAGGUCAGUUAUGCACAUUACAGUUGUUUAUUGCAUAAAAAGUUAUCGAAAAAUGAAGUUAAGGGCGAAGUAUAAAUCACGUCUAAAAAUAGACUGAAUCCCGACGUUGAAAUGAAGUAUAAACUUAGACUAGACGUCUAAUAUACGUCUUUUGCUCAGUGGGAUGACAAAGCAUGUGGACAUUUGUGUGACACGCCACUUACCCUAUAAUAAUAAUCGCCACCACCCGCUGCUCAAACGGUGUGAGGGUCUCCUCCCCCGGACCCACACCUGUCUGGCCAGUACUCCUCCGGAGGGCAGCUGUACGCCGCUUGACCUCCACCUUGAGGUCCGACCACUUUUUUUUAAUCUUCGCGGGGGUGCGUGUCUCGGAACCCACCGCAUUCACCCUCUCGCAAACUUUCUCCCACUCCAAGCGUUUUUGUUUUGCACUGAAGCCACUGGAUAGGCUGCCAAACAAAACACGCUGUCGCUCCUCCACCUCCGCCACCAGCACCUCCACCUCGCAUGCCGUAAAUUUAGUUUUUCUUGUCAUUUUGUCUGCGUGCGAGGACAGGGAGACCCUAAUUAAAUAAAUCUGCAUAUUUAUAGGAGGGCGUAACGGGGAUGGGCCCAGUCACUCCGACAUCUGCGCUCAAUUCCACGCUGAUUGGGAUUUAUCAAGGAAACACACAUGGAUUUCGGCGCCCGCACACAUUGAUACAUACAGAUUUUUUUCAGCGUGACGGACCUCGCGUGCGCUCGUUUCUGGUAUGAGUUCCACGCAAGUAUUGAUACAUAAGGCCCCAGGGCCUCUUCAAGGUCAGUAGCCCCCUGCUCAUGACAUUUAGCUUGCAGAGUUGGAUCGAGCCCCACCAGGAACCUGCAGAAAAUGUCUCUGUCCAAAAGCCUCGAGCAGCUUUGCUUUAACUGCAGAAUAAUCAGCAUGAAAAGCUGCUGGCAGGCUGUCCCACAGGAGGAAAGCAGCCUUGGUCAGCCAUGUUGGCAAAAGUCCCACCAGUUCAUAAUCACAGUCACCUCCGAUGCCUCCCAUUAGCGCUUUCACAACCACUUCAUAUUGGCGGCCCAACAGGGGAAACUUUACUUGCCUUCUCCAGUGAAGGGCGGUGGGAGUUCAAUCCUGACUCCACUGGCGAAGGAUCCUUCACCGUGUCGCUCUCUGUCAAGCAGGCAUGGGGUCCAGCUCAAACUUCCACAUAUUUGCAGCUCCAGUCAUUUCGUUCUUCUUUUCUUUAACCAAGCCAAUUCAUACCGCGAAUUGCAGGUCCAACGACACGGCAAAUACGUUUGGCUAAGUACACUUGAGCAGCUAAGCUGCUGGGGAAAAAAAAAAAAAACAUUAGCGAACCUUUCUUUCUUUUUCUUGUUAUUCUUGUAGGGAAUCCCACUGCUGCCACCAAUGUAGCCGAGUGCAGGGCUGCUUAUACUGUGUAAGGAUUAAAAUAAAGGAUGAUACAAACAGCAGGAGCGUCCACUCUGUUUUAUUUCUCUUCCUUUUUUUUCACGUCAACUUCACCCUGUUAACCACAGCAACCACUUCUGGUCCUCCUUCAAAAUAAACCCUGGCACAUCCUGUGCACUAAACCGUGCCUGCCCAAACUCCACUAAGGCAUACCACAACAAAAAAUAGGUUACACUAGUCUGGUCGCAGGUGAGACGCCGGUAGCUGCUUGGGUCUCUCUCUUCCUCCCUCCUCUCGUGUGUGUAUGUGUGUGUACCUGCUGCCGCAGAAGAGUGAGUAUGGCAUCAAUGUAGGUCGCAACCACAGCAUUAUUAGUUAAAUCAACAAUUCCAUUUUUAACAGGUUAGAUCCGAUGUAAUGACGUGCAGUGGUCCUCAUCUGCCAUAAUCAGCUGAUUAGGAGCGUGCUGUUUUUGCUCCUCUGUUGCUGCUUUGUCUCUUGGCUUUGCCUGCUUUGUCUCCUGUGCUGUUUGCUACCUUUAGCCUGCUCACUGACUAGCUUGGGCCUUUCGAGUGCUAAUAGGACCUGUCAUUAGCUGUCUGUCUCCUACCUGGCGACUGCCUAGAGAACUUUUGAUUGAUUGCAAUCAUGUUUUAAGGGUGUGAGUAAGUGGUGGGGAUAUUUGUUCUUUUAUGCUUGGUUUAAUUUGUUUAAGUUAGCCUUCUUUUGUUUUCUCAUCACUUUUGAUGAUGGGGCGUCUCCAUCACAGCUCCUGUAGCUAAGCUGCUAUGCCACUUUCAGCUGCUCAGAGCUCCGAGGAGAGAGGGGACGAGUCAGAACUUCGGGAGAGGGGUGUGUUGAAUUGACCAAUAGGAGCUGUUCGGGCUGUGUUCAACAUCAUGCGUUCCGUACAGUAAACAGGAUGAGAAGAAGCAGGAAAAUUUGAGGCAGUGGAAAUAAAGGACAAAAACCGUACGGUAUGUUAACAAAACAUGGCAUUCUUGUCAGUGGUUUGCACACAUAAUGCUGAAAGAAGGAGGAGAGGACAGGCUGUCAGAAGGAGAAAUCUUGGCUGUCCUCUUAAAAAAUGAAUGCUUGGGUGAAAAGUUUCGCCAUUCUCCGCUUUUCCGCCGUCUGCCCAGGCGCUUUGCAUUGUGUGUAACAGUAGGCGGAGCAGACUGGUCUAAUGCAUACUGUGAAAUUUUCCCGAAUCAGUACGUCAUCCGGGUAUUUUUGGCAUACAGCAAAUUUCACAUUUGUUCGCCUACUGCAUACUAAAUUUUUGGCAAAUCAGUAUGUACUGCUUGUAUGGUUGGCGAAUUGGAAUACGGCCACUGUUUUAUUCACACAGUUACUAUAUCAUAUUUCCAGAUGUCCAAUUGAAGAAAAAACUUAAAUGGUUAAAAUAGUUCUUGUAAGACACUGUUAAAUAUUCGCUUGUGUAGUUUGUGAUGAUAUCAGCUAGUUGUCAAUAAACAGAGAAUUGACCCUGAGAAAUCUGUGACUUCAUGUCUAUAGUCUGUACAUGAGGAGGGACCUCCCAUGCUGAAACAGACUGGAGACAAACUGUAAGAUAAAAAAUAUUGUGGAUCAAUAGACAUUUAAUUAACCCUGUGUUUACUAAGUGUGUAUAAGGUUCUUAUUGCAAAUACUACUACAACCAUGGACAGUUUGUUUGAUAUCUUUAUGUGCUCUGUAUUCGAACGGAAAAAAAAAACAGAUUUACACUCCAUAACGGUUUGCACACCUCUUUUCUUCACACUGUGCAAUUGUCUCAUUCUUUGUGUCUAUUUCAGUGCACACACACAAAACCUGUGGAAAGCCCCAGUGUUUAGCAACGGGUGUAGAAGAGUAAUGAUGGGUGGAGAAAGACACAGCAUGAAUUACAGGUGAUGAAAUAUUUAGCCUGUCAGUCUCCAGGCCAUAAAAACUGGAUCUGGUCAGAGAGCCAGAACCUGCUGGGCGGCAUUCCUCGCUGACAUUUCCCCGAUGCGCCACGGAAACUGGGUGUGACAAAUGUUGUGAAAUUUGGGAGAAAACAUGCGGGGGCCCAUUAUUGGCUCACUCCACUGGACAGCUCUGAAAAGAGUUAAAGGAAAAUGUUUAUUGGUGUCACAAUCAUGCCAUGCCCAAUUCUGCACCUUUGUCCUUAUGACAGCAGGAGCUACAGAAACUGCUGUGUGAACCCUAAAACUCAUUAACGUUGCAUGAAUGAAAACAACAUUCAACAACAUUAACAUCUAUCAUCAUAAUUACAACCACAAAUCACUAGUCACUAAGAUCUUGCUC